rnacentral:rRNA from 1 species
UACGUAGGGUGCAAGCGUUGUCCGGAAUUAUUGGGCGUAAAGAGCUCGUAGGCGGUUUGUCGCGUCUGCUGUGAAGACGCGAGGCUCAACCUCGCGCCUGCAGUGGGUACGGGCAGACUAGAGUGCGGUAGGGGAGAUUGGAAUUCCUGGUGUAGCGGUGGAAUGCGCAGAUAUCAGGAGGAACACCGAUGGCGGAAGGCAGAUCUCUGGGCCGUAACUGACGCUGAGGAGCGAAAGCGUGGGGAGCGAACAGG